CCUACGGGGGGCAGCAGUGGGGAAUAUUGGACAAUGGGGGGAACCCUGAUCCAGCGACGCCGCGUGAGUGAAGAAGUAUUUCGGUAUGUAAAGCUCUAUCAGCAGGGAAGAAAAUGACGGUACCUGACUAAGAAGCCCCGGCUAACUACGUGCCAGCAGCCGCGGUAAUACGUAGGGGGCGAGCGUUAUCCGGAUUCACUGGGUGUAAAGGGAGCGUAGACGGCCAUGCAAGCCAGGGGUGAAAGCCCGGGGCCCAACCCCGGGACUGCCCUUGGAACUGCAUGGCUGGAGUGCGGGAGGGGCAG
rnacentral:rRNA from 1 species